rfam:Schistosoma mansoni, Puerto Rico, WGS project CABG01000000 data, contig: 0071
GCACUGCGGAGGAGUCCCAUAAUAGGACGAAACGGCCGUCCAGUGC